rnacentral:rRNA from 1 species
CGAACUGUGCGAACGUUAUUCGGAAUCACUGGGCUUAAAGGGUGCGUAGGCGGUUUUCUAAGUCACGUGUGAAAUCUUCCGGCUCAACCGGAAAACUGCGCGUGAUACUGGAAGACUUGAGUGAGGUAGGGGUGUGUGGAACUUCCGGUGGAGCGGUGAAAUGUGUAGAGAUCGGAAGGAACGCCAGCAGCGAAAGCGGCACACUGGGCCUUAUCUGACGCUGAGGCACGAAAGCUAGGGGAGUGAACGGGAUUAGAUACCCCGGUAAUCCUAGCCGUAAACACUGAACACUGGAGGACGGGGGCUUUGGCCUUCGUUCUCGUAGCGAAAGCGUUAAGUGUUCCGCCUGGGAGGUAUGGUCGCAAGGCUG